UACGUAGGGGGCAAGCGUUAUCCGGAAUUAUUGGGCGUAAAGAGCUCGUAGGCGGUCUGUCGCGUCUGCUGUGAAAUCUGGGGGCUCAACCCCCAGCCUGCAGUGGGUACGGGCAGACUAGAGUGCUGUAGGGGAGACUGGAAUUCCUGGUGUAGCGGUGAAAUGCGCAGAUAUCAGGAGGAACACCGGUGGCGAAGGCGGGUCUCUGGGCAGUAACUGACGCUGAGGAGCGAAAGCGUGGGGGGCGAACAGG
rnacentral:rRNA from 1 species